rnacentral:rRNA from 1 species
ACUCAAAUGAAUUGACGGGAGCCCGCACAAGCGGUGGAUUAUGUGGUUUAAUUCGAAGCAACGCGCAGAACCUUACCUAGGUUUGACAUCCUUUGACAACCGUAGAGAUACGGCUUUUAUAGCAAUAUAACAAAGAGACAGGUGCUGCAUGGCUGUCGUCAGCUCGUGUGGUGGCAUGUCGGGUUAAGUCCCUCAACGAGCGCAACCCCUGUGUUUAGUUGCCAGCAUUCAGUUGGGCACUCUAGACAGACUGCCGUGGUUAACACGGAGGAAGGCGGGGAUGACGUCAAGUCCUCAUGGCCCUUACACCUAGGGCGACACACGUAAUACAAUGGUUGAUACAGAGGGAUGCGAAACGGCGACGUGGAGCAAAUCCCAAAAAGUCAAUCUCAGUUCGGAUUGGAGUCUGCAACUCGACUCCAUGAAGGCGGAAUCGCUAGUAAUCGCGGAUCAGCACGCCGCGGUGAAUACGUUCCCGGGCUUUGCACACACCGCCCGU